AUUGAACGCUGGCGGCAUGCUUUACACAUGCAAGUCGAACGGCAGCACGGGGGCAACCCUGGUGGCGAGUGGCGAACGGGUGAGUAAUACAUCGGAACGUACCCAGUUGUGGGGGAUAACCUACCGAAAGGUAGGCUAAUACCGCAUGAGCUCGAGAGAGGAAAGCGGGGGACCGUAAGGCCUCGCGCGACUGGAGCGGCCGAUGUCCGAUUAGCUAGUUGGUGGGGUAAAGCUCACCAAGCCAACGAUCUGUAGCUGGUCUGAGAGGACGACCAGCCACACUGGGACUGAGACACGGCCCAGACUCCUACGGGUGGCAG
rnacentral:rRNA from 1 species